rnacentral:lncRNA from 1 species
AUCUAUUCAUACCAUUUAUUGUGUACAUGCUACAUGCAAAGCAUAAAUAUGGAUUAAAAUAAAAUAAUUGUGACAAUAUUUUCAAAUAUAUUAUGUUUCCGGGACAUUCUGAUAGGCAAAUACCAUAAAGGAGGGAUUCUCCUGAGAAUCAGCCUAUCCCAUGAACAUUAUUUUUUCCCUUGAUGACUUAAUAGAAACCUCUUGUCCCCCAAAAAGAAAAACCAAGAGAACUUGUUUGUAUCACUGCAGCCAUUUAUUUAUUAUGUGCACAUUAAGGUUUAUAUACUGAUUAUAUUUCUCAUGUGGUUUUUAAUUAGAAAAUGUAUCCAAAAGCAAAAUAGCAUGGACAUAUACAAACUGAAAAAUGCACAGAAACAGAAGGUAGAGACUAAUGCAUACGGUAAAUGAUAUAUUGAGAAUCCAAACCCAUAACCUUAAAACAUCUGGGGGUUGAAGGAGGACAAACUGAAGACACAUCAAAUUGUGUAAAAUCAGUGUGUUUUCCCUUCCCUUAUGUCUGAAAAGCCUCUCCUUUCAAUAGCAAUAACUAAACCCCAAAUAUCACCAAAAUGUUAACAUAACUCUAGAUUCACACUUGAACAGGGAAGAGUAUUUUCUAUAGUAACAGUCCUUGAAAACGGUACCACGGAUACUGUUUUUGUUAUAAUCAUUUUUAAACAUAAUGCUGUUUUGAAGAUUUAAACUCUAAUUUCUGCUUGUCUUUUGCACAGUGACGAAUGAUCAGGUUUUAAUUUUAGUUGCUAACUAUAACGUGAAUCAAUAGGAAAUACGAAUGCGACAAGCACAUGUAGAGGGCAUUAUUUUUAGACAGCUUCUUCAGUGAGCAACAUUUUGUCCUUGUAGACAUGCUGAACAUUUAGAAACUGGGGAACCAAGUAGGGGAUGUUUUAGAAUCAUAUACUGUGAUUUUAAUCUGUAUUAUUCUAAGCAUAACAUUCCAAAAUAUACAUCGAGAGAGAUUAAAAGUAAUGCUCUACAAUAAGGAGGUAACAAUUCAAAAAUGCUACUGACAUGGAAUAUUUAUAAUCAGAAAAAUAAAUAUUCUGGGAGCUCACCAAAAGAAUAAAGUGCUCUGCCAGUUAUUAAAAGAUUAAUGCUGGUGUAUUAAAUAUGGCAUUCCCCACUAUAAAAUACAGAGAUUCUUCUGGGUUAUAGUCAGUACUUAUUUCACAGGAUUAACUGUUUUAAAAAUAGACAGAAGAAGGCUUUGCCAUAGAAGCAAAGGACAAAAGACAGGACAAAGCCAUAGACAAAAUCAUGUUAGGAAGUGACAUUAUUCUUUUAGGGAUAAAAUUUAGAGAAAUGCAACAUUAUGCUCCAUGAAUAAUAUGCAGAAAGCAAAGUGUAAUUAAAAACAAAAUCCUUAAUAUAACUUUAUAAGAAAUCCAGAUCAAAUAAAAUUCUUUGAACAAAAUACCCAAAUGCCAUUCCAAUGCUGCUGACUUAUCAAAUAUCUGGGCAUAUAAUCUGUAAAGUGAAGUCGCUCAGUCAUGUCCGACUCUUAGCAACCUCAUGGGCUGUAGCCUGCCAGGCCCCUUUGUCCAUGAGGUUUUCCAGGGAAGAAUACAGGAGUGGGCCCAUGGAUUG